UACAUGGGGUGCAAACGUUGCUCGGAAUUAUUGGGCGUAAAGCGCACGUAGGCGGUCCGUUAAGUCAGAUGUGAAAGCCCCCGGCUCAACCGGGGAAGUGCAUCUGAAACUGGCGGGCUAGAGUACGAAAGAGGGUCGCGGAAUUCCCGGUGUAGAGGUGAAAUUCGUAGAUAUCGGGAGGAACACCGGUGGCGAAGGCGGCGACCUGGGUCGAUACUGACGCUGGGGUGCGAAAGCGUGGGGAGCAAACAGG
rnacentral:rRNA from 1 species